rnacentral:rRNA from 1 species
GACGAACGCUGGCGGCGUGCUUAACACAUGCAAGUCGAACGGAAAGGCCCUGCUUUUGUGGGGUGCUCGAGUGGCGAACGGGUGAGUAACACGUGAGUAACCUGCCCUUGACUUUGGGAUAACUUCAGGAAACUGGGGCUAAUACCGGAUAGGAGCUCCUGCUGCAUGGUGGGGGUUGGAAAGUUUCGGCGGUAGGGGAUGGACUCGCGGCUUAUCAGCUUGUUGGUGGGGUAGUGGCUUACCAAGGCUUUGACGGGUAGCCGGCCUGAGAGGGUGACCGGGCACAUUGGGACUGAGGUACGGCCCAGACUCCUACGGGAGGCAGCAGUGGGGAGUAUUGCACAAUGGGCGGAAGUCUGAUGCAGCAACGUCGCGUGCGGGAUGACGGCCUUCGGGUUGUAAACCGCUUUCGCCUGUGACGAAGCGUGAGUGACGGUAAUGGGUAAAGAAGCACCGGCUAACUACGUG